UGAGAAUGUCAGCAGGCGAGAGAGAAAGAUGGACUGUAAGCUUGCAUAUGUGUUUUGUGUGUGUGUUUGUGUGUGUGCGAUGUAUAUAGGUGACACAGAUUUAUGAGGGGAGGAGGUCAGAGAUGGAGGCGCUGGCUGGUGUUUGUGGAAGGGGGUUGUGGAAGUAUGGCUGUAACAUCUCUGGCAAGUUUGGAGGUUUAGUGAUGAGCCAUUAUGAGGUGGAGCCGUUCACCAACCCAACCCAACACACAACACAAUUAUAUGGUAUCCAAAGUAGUGGCAGAUUGACUCUUUCUUUCAGGGAUCGUCAUAAGUAAGUUUCCCAUUAAGUGCUGUUCGCCGUUUCGCUAUAAAAGCCUUUAUACACCUCCCACCAUCAUUCAAAUGAUGACUGAUUGUGACAUGAUAAUAUGAUAUACUCUAUUGUCUUUGUUGUGUUGUACUUUUAUCCUCAAAUAGAUUCAC
rnacentral:lncRNA from 1 species